CUUGUGUGGGCAACACACACCAAAAUUAGGAGAAUAUCGAGAAGGUGAGCAUGGCCCCUGCCCAAGGAUGACACUCCAGCUUGUGAAGUAUCCCAUAUUUUG
rnacentral:snRNA from 1 species